rnacentral:lncRNA from 1 species
GGUCGCAAAAAAGUCAUCCAAAGUUUUACUAUUAUUAUUUGGUAUAUUCACAACCAUUAUUGUAACUUGUAACAAAGGUCUGUGGACUGAGCCACUCAUGAGCUAUGGGCUCAAUUAAGGCUUCCUUAUGCUGUGAAAAUCGGAAUGUUUAAAAGUGGUAAAGUUGAAGUACUAAACACCUUACUCAUCCGAUUGAAAAACUAGACGGGAAAAGUAACCAAACUGUACUCAAAUUUUGUAUACUUUUUUACCCCUUAAAGAUGUAUGGAAACCUUAUGAAAUAUAAAUUUCCGUGUUGAAAUAGAAAAACUCACAACCAUUAUUGUAACUUGUAACAAAGGUCUGUGGACUGAGCCACUCAUGAGCUAUGGGCUCAAUUAAGGCUUCCUUAUGCUGUGAAAGUCGGAAUGUUUAAAAGUGGAAAAGUUGAAGUACUAAACACCUUACUCAUCCGAUUAAAAAAUUAGACCGGAAAAGUAACCAAACUGUACUCGAAUUUUGUAAACUUUUUUACCCCUUAAAGAUG